rnacentral:rRNA from 1 species
GAUCUACUAGAGUGCUCUGCAAGUCGAGCGGUACAUAUCUAUCUUGCUCGAUGCUGACGAGCGGCGGACGGGUGAGUACCGCAUAGGAAACUGGACUGUAGUGGGGGAUAGCCCGGGGAAACCCGGAUUAAUACCGCGUACACCCUUCGGGGGAAAGCAGGGGAUCUUCUGACCUUGCGCUAUUGGAUGUGCCUAUGUCGGAUUAGCUAGUUGGUGGGGUGAAGGCCUACCAUGGUCACCAUCCUUGGCUGGGCUGAAAGGAUGAUCCUCCUCCUCGGGACUGAAACGCGGACCCAACUCCUACGGGAGGCAGCCUGGGGGAAUAUUGCACAAUGGGGGAAACCCUGAUCCAGACUUGCCGCGUGUGUGAAGAAGGAUUUCGGGUUGUAAACCACUUUCAGAGACGAGGAAAAAUUGGUCGCUAAUAUUGGCCAGCCUUGACGUUACUCUCACAAUAAUCACCGUUUAACUCCGUGCCGGCAGCCGCGGUAAUACUGAAGGUGCAGGCGUAAAUCCCAAUUACUGGCCUCAAAAUUCGCUUAGAUGGUUUGAUAAUUGAGAUGUAAAAACCCCGGGGUUACCCUGAGAACGGAAUUUCAAACUGUCAAGCUUCAG